AUGUCACAGCCUGGCAGAUUAAAGAGCCACCCAACCUGUCCCGUGCCCACAGGAGCUGGGGUCAGAAACCCAGCCCAAAAGGCGUUGAGCCCCUGCCCGCACCAGCCUGGAUCAUUGGGGAUCGCACCCCGGGAUCUCAUGGACCCUCCCCGAGCAGGGCUGACCCUGAUGCAGGGGCUGACCCUCCCCAAGGCCAAACCUCGUGUGUCCCCAUGGGCACUGUCCCCAUGGGCACUGCCUCAGUGGCAGCUCUGGGAAGGCACAAAUCCCCCUCCCAGAGCCUGGCACGGGCUGAGGCACUGGGAGGGUGCUGGGAGAGGCACUGGGAGGGUGGGCAGCCUCGGGUGGGUGCCAGUUGUGGCCGUGGGGGUCGGGGACCCCCUGUGCACCUACCUCGUGGUGCUGUGCCGGGCGGGGAGGCAGGCAGGCAGCAGUUGUUCCUGGCCCAGCAGUGCCAGGGCACACGGCAUGGCUCGGGCAGAGGCGAUCCUGGGGAAAAGGGAGGCUCCGACCUGUAGGAGACGAAGCGCAAGGAGAGGUGGCUGCCGUGGCACGAGGGCGAUGCACGAAGCUCCGGUGCCUUUGGCAGCCCACAGGCAGCAGGCAGAGCCCCCCUGUCCCCCCAACCCUCUCCCCCACCAGCCCAAAGCCGUGGAUUUGGGGGCGGGAUGCUCAGCAAUGAGCAGGGCCAUUGGAGCAGCACACCCAAUGCCUGGCUGUGUUAUACAGCCCCCCAAACACCCCAGCUCUGGGGUCCCCCUCACCCGGCACGCUGGGGAAGGGGAGAUGGCUGGGAGGGGGCUGCAGCAGGGCAGCCCUGUCUGGGGGCUGCAGUGCCUGGGGGGCACUGCACAGCCAUGGCCUGGCUGCAGGGGUGUGCGGGGGGAUGCCAGCCUCCUGGGGCUCUGCACGGGGCCCUGGCUUUGCUCCUUGGGGUGUUUGUGGGACCUGGGAGAGCCACACGAGUCAGGAAGCACCCUAAAAGCUCCUGGUGCCUGUCCCGUGAGCCCUUCCCCUGCUUUCCGCCUGCACACAGCCAUGUGCCAAGAGGUGGCCUGA
rnacentral:lncRNA from 1 species